CCCGCCACUCUGCUGUACUGAAGUUUGGCACGUACAUUGGUGGAGGAAGAUUGCAAAGGAGUAGGUCACUGAUAUUGCUAGAGGCAAAAUGCUGUUGCGUGUUCAGCUCGGGGAAGAGCAGAAAUACGUCAAGUUGUCUGAGCUGACAUUCAGUGCUUUCUUGAAAGAAGGUGGGUAUAUUAGGUUAAAGCAAUAUAUAUCACCCUAAUGACAAAAUAAUACAGCAUUAAGCUAUUAUCUUAUGAUAUCUAGUUAGGUCCAUAAUCAUUUCUGCUGUGCUUUAUAUUUUCAGUAACAUAAAAUCAGGUGUAGAUCCUUGUCUUUUAUCAUUUUGUGAAUACAUGAGGCAAACUUAAAUAUGACCUUGGAUUCUUGUGAGAAGGGAAUGCAUGUUUUUUGUGUUUUUUUAAACAGUGUGUCUAAAAUUCAACAUACCAGAAAGCAGACAGCCAGACAUUAAGGUGUAUGACCAGUCUGACACAGAAGUUGACUCAGAUGUUUUUGAAGAAAUAGUGAAGGAGUCACCUGGAACUUUCAGAAUCAUGCUGGGCAAUGGACUUGGUAUUCAUUCAGACAAUUCACAAAUUAGUUUGUUUAGUUUAAAGAAUGAGAACAUUUAUUGUCUUAAAAAUAACAGUUUCUUGUAAUAUGUUUCUAUGUUUUGCACAAAUUUCAUAAUGAACAGAUACUUCUCAAUCAUCAUCAUGCUCGGGUACAUCUGAUGACACCGUCAUUCUGAAUUUCACUGUGUGUGACCAUGUUGAAGAAGUAGCUGCUGGCGAAGGAAGCCAGCCUAAAAGGCCAUGCCACAUAAACUAUGAGGCAAAAGCGUUGAUUGAAAAAAUCCUAACAUCAAAGCCUGGUGGUGAACGC